UACGAAGGGGGCUAGCGUUGCUCGGAUUGACUGGGCGUAAAGAGUGCGUAGGCGGUUCUGAAGUCCGCUGUGAAAGCCCCGGGCUUAACCUGGGAACUGCAUUGGUGACUGCAUCGCUCGAGUAUGGCAGAGGGGGUAGAAUUCCACGUGGUAGCAGUGAAAUGCGUAGAGAUGUGGAGGAAUACCGAUGGCGAAGGCAGCCCCCUGGGUCAAUAUGACGCUCAUGCACGAAAGCGUGGGGAGCAAACAGG
rnacentral:rRNA from 1 species